GACGAACGCUGGCGGCGUGCUUAACACAUGCAAGUCGAACGGAAAGGCCCUGCUUUUGUGGGGUGCUCGAGUGGCGAACGGGUGUGUAACACGUGAGUAACCUGCCCUUGACUUUGGGAUAACUUCAGGCAACUGGGGCUAAUACCGGCUAGGAGCUCCUGCUGCAUGGUGGGGGUUGGACAGUUUCGGCGGUUGGGGGUGGACGCGCGGGUUAUCAGCUUGUUGGUGGGGUAGUGGCUUACCCAGGCUUUGACGGGUAGCCGGCCUGGGAGGGUGACCGGCGACAUUGGGACUGAGAUACGGCCCAGACUCCUACGGGAGGCAGCAGGGGGGAGUAUUGCACAAUGGGCGGAAGCCUGAUGCAGCAACGCCGCGUGCGGGAUGACGGCCUUCGGGUUGUAAACCGCUUUCGCCUGUGACGAAGCGUGAGUGACGGUAAUGGGUAAAGAAGCACCGGCUAACUACGUG
rnacentral:rRNA from 1 species